rnacentral:rRNA from 1 species
AUGGCCGAGGACGGGAGGGAGCGGGCGGAGGACGCCACGGGGACGGCGAAGAAGGCCAAGCAGGGCGGCUUCAGGACCAUGCCCUUCAUCCUAGCGAACGACUUCUGCGACCGGCUGGCGACGGUGGGGUUCGGCUCGAACCUGAUCUCGUACCUCACCCUGCAGCUGCACCUGCCGCUGGUGGAGGCCUCCAACGUGCUCACGAACUACCACGGCACCACCAACCUCACGCCGCUCGUCGGCGGCCUCAUCGCCGACUCCUUCGCCGGCCGCUUCUGGACCAUCACCGUCGGCUCCAUCAUCUACCAGCUCGGCAUGGUCUGCCUCACCCUCUCCGCCGCGCUCCCCUCGCUCCGCCCGCCGCCCUGCGCCAAGCACGCCGCCGAGUGCCAGCGCGCCUCCACCUACCAGAUCGCCAUCCUCUACCUGUCGCUGCUCUGCACGUCCAUCGGCGCCGGGGGCUCGCGGCCCUGCAACAUGGCGUUCGGCGCCGACCAGCUCGAGCUGGGCGCGCGCCGGCGCCGGAGCGCCAACGGCGGCAAGGCCCCCAUGUGGAGCUUCUUCAACCUGUACUUCUUCGGCAUCGAGCUCGCCAAGCUCACGGCGGUCACCGUGGUGGUGUACAUCCAGGAGAACGUCGGGUGGGGGUGGGGGCUCGGCGUGCCCACCAUCGCCAUGUUCGUCGCCGUGAUCGGCUUCGUGUCCGGGUACUCGCUAUAUGUCAGGAUGCCCCCCGGCGGCAGCCCGCUUGUCCGGCUGGCACAGGUCGUGGCUGCUGCGUUUAAGAAGAGGAAAGCAGUCGUGCCGGACCCGGACCUCCUGUACGAGGACAAGAAGCUCGACGCCGGCAUCUCCACCACCGGCCGUCUUCUCCACACCAACCAGCUAAAGUUCUUUGACAAGGCGGCCAUAGUGACGGAGGGCGACGUUCUGCCGUCCGGCGAGCCGAAGCUGUGGCGGCUGUCGACGGUGCACCGGGUGGAGGAGAUCAAGUCGAUCGUCCGCAUGCUGCCCAUCUGGGCGGCGGGCAUCCUCAUGGUGACCGCGUCGUCGCACAACAGCAGCUUCGCGAUCCAGCAGGCGCGCACCAUGGACCGCGACAUCACGCGGAGCUUCAAGAUCCCGCCGGCCUCCAUGCUCAUCUUCACCAACCUCGCCAUGCUGGUCACCCUCGCCUUCUACGACCGGGUGCUCGUCCGCGUGCUCCGCCGCUUCACCGGCCGCCCCAACGGCAUCACCCACCUCCAGCGCGCCGGCGUCGGCAUGACCAUCGCCAUGCUGGCGAACGUGGCCGCGGCAGCCGUCGAGACCAGGCGGAAGUCAGUGGCCGCCGCCAGCGGCAUGCUGGACGCGCCCAAAGGCGCCACCCUGCCCAUCAGCGUCUUCUGGCUGGUGCCGCAGUACGCCAUCCACGGCAUCGCCGACGCAUUCAUGGACGUCGGCCGCAUGGAGUUUCUGUACGACCAGGCGCCGGAGAGCAUGAGGAGCACCGCGGCGGCGCUCUACUGGCUCACCAUCUCGGCGGGGAGCUACCUCGGCACGCUGCUGGUGACCAUCGUGCACGAGAAAACGCAGGCCAGCGGGCAGUGGCUGCAGGACAACCUCAACAGAGGGAAGCUGGAUAACUACUACUGGCUCGUCGUCGGGCUGCAGGGGCUCAACCUCGUCUACUACUUCGUAUGUGUCAAGUACUACACUUUUAAGCCAUUGGAGACGGAGGUCGAGCACCAACCUGGCCAUGGAAAUGGCACCCAGAGCACCAAGAAGGGUGUAAGCUACAAGUAA